rnacentral:rRNA from 1 species
UGAGGAAUAUUGGUCAAUGGACGCAAGUCUGAACCAGCCAAGUAGCGUGCACGGAUGACGGCCCUCCGGGUGUAAACUGCUUUUAGUUGGAAUAAAAGGGGGCUCGUGAGCCCCGUAUUGUAUGUACCAUCAGAAAAGGACCGGCUAAUUCCGUGCC